UACGUAGGGUGCGAGCGUUGUCCGGAAUUAUUGGGCGUAAAGCGCACGUAGGCGGACCGUUAAGUCGGGGGUGAAAUCCUGGAGCUCAACUCCAGAACUGCCUUCAAUACUGGCGAUCUAGAGUCCGGAAGAGGUGAGUGGAACUCCUAGUGUAGAGGUGGAAUUCGUAGAUAUUGGGAGGAACACCAGUGGCGAAGGCGGCGACCUGGGUCGAUACUGACGCUGAGGUGCGAAAGCGUGGGGAGCAAACAGG
rnacentral:rRNA from 1 species